ensembl:misc_RNA RN7SL521P RNA, 7SL, cytoplasmic 521, pseudogene
GCCGGGCUUGGCCGCGCGCGUCUGUGGCCCCGGCCACUCGGAAGGCUGAGGCGGGAGCAGCGCUUGAGCCCGGGAGCUCUGCGCUGUAUAUGCGCUAGGUCCGUCGCGCGGUGCCUCUGAGUUCUGCAUCUGUGUGGUGACCUCUCGGGAGCGGGGACCACCAGGUUCCCCAGGGAGGGGGAACCGGCCCAGCUCGGAAACCGAGCAGGGCAAAACCCCAGUGCUGAUCGUUAGUGGGAUCGCGCCUGUGAAUAGCCACUGCCCUCCAGCCUGGGCAACAGCCAGACCCCGUCUGUU